rfam:Lactobacillus ingluviei strain DSM 14792 Scaffold6, whole genome shotgun sequence.
GGGGAUGUUUUUUGGAUUCGACGGGUAUAGGUCGAGUUCUAAUUGCGUUUGAAGGUGGCGCUUGUUAAAACGCUCAGUUUUUAAAUUAUAACUGCAAACAAUAAUUCACAAUCCUACGCAUACGCUGCCUAACCGGUAAGCAUGCGUAAAUCCGGCCGGGCUCGUCCAUGGUGCGGUACCGGGUUUCAUUAGCAGUGGACUUACGUUGGUGGCCUCAGCUGGUGGUCAGCAAAAGAGAUCUUCCCAGCUCGCCUGCCAUGUUAGCCUUGAUUAGCGGCGCUUUGGCAGGUUAAAGCUAAAUAGUUGAUCUAUGAGCGUAGAGGUUAGGAUGGCGAUAUGCUCGGACAGGGGUUCGACUCCCCUCAUCUCCAUUU